GCCAGAGUGCUGGAAUGGUAGACAGGCUAGUUUCAGGAACUAGUGUCCAUUACGGGCGUGAGGGUUCGACUCCCUCCUCUGGCACAA
rnacentral:tRNA from 4 species